AGUGAACGCUGGCGGUAGGCCUAACACAUGCAAGUCGAACGGCAGCACAGUAAGAGCUUGCUCUUACGGGUGGCGAGUGGCGGACGGGUGAGGAAUACAUCGGAAUCUACUUUUUCGUGGGGGAUAACGUAGGGAAACUUACGCUAAUACCGCAUACGACCUACGGGUGAAAGCGGGGGAUCUUCGGACCUUGCGCGAUUGAAUGGGCCGAUGUCGGAUUAGCUAGUUGGCGGGGUAAAGGCCCACCAAGGCGACGAUCCGUAGCUGGUCUGAGAGGAUGAUCAGCCGCACUGGAACUGAGACACGGUCCAGACUCCUACGGGAGGCAGCAGUGGGGAAUAUUGGACAAUGGGCGCAAGCCUGAUCCAGCCAUACCGCGUGGGUGAAGAAGGCCUUCGGGUUGUAAAGCCCUUUUGUUGGGAAAGAAAAGCAGCAGGUUAAUACCCCGCUGUUCUGACGGUACCCAAAGAAUAAGCACCGGCUAACUUCGUG
rnacentral:rRNA from 1 species